GGCAGUGUAGCGUAGUGGUAAGGCACAGGGCUCAUAACCAAAAGGUUGCUGGUUCAACUCCUCAUCAGGCCACUGCUA